rnacentral:piRNA from 1 species
UGCAUUGCUGUGUCCAUAUCCUGUUUGUA